ensembl:lncRNA
UAUGCCUAUAUAAUCACGAGUGGCUCCUUUUCCCUGAAGAUUUUCAUUCUUCAUUCAUGUUAUUUAUUUCUGUCGGAUGUAAGAUACAUGUCAGCCUCAUUUAGAUAUUCCGUACAUCAUCAGUAGGAAAUCGCAGUCCACAUUCCCUCUUCUUUUUAUAAACUCUGACUUUCUUAUGUACUUUUGACACUAUUGUAUUUUUCAGGGUAUUUCUUCAGAGAAUCUCAGAUUUGAAUUCAUAAACAUGUGGUAGAAUCAAGUCUCUGCCUUUUCCCUCAUAGUUAUUUUAUUUCCAAACAAUGGAGUUUUAGGAUAUAUAAACAUUAAUUUCUGGUUGACCACUUUUCUGGGGUCAUACUAUUUUGCUUCAAUUAAUAUUACAUUUAAACAUUUGCAUAUCCCAUAGUGUCUUUGGAUUAAAUAGAAAACAUAUGAUUAAUUCCAUUGGUAGCCACAUCACUGCUGUAGAUACCUUAUUAGCAUAUAAAUGAUUCAGUUGCAAAUGGAAUGUAUUCCCACUACAUUUACUCAGAAUGUGGUAAAAACUACCUUUUUAGUGAUAUUUCCCAUGUAUCUUUCUCAUCUUUAUCCACUUGACAUCCCUGUCCUCCUUUUUUUCUGAUUCCCCUUUCUUGCAAGAUCUUCACCGAUAAAUGUUAGCUUCUGCCCUGUGCUUAGAAUUGUAUCUUUAACUUCUUUUUUCAUUGUUUUACAAUAACAUAGAUAAAAUGUAAUAUAAAUGUUAGCCUGGCUUUUUCUUUAAGAAAACCAAAUCUAAUUCUAAAUGAAUUUUCAUUAAUGUACAUUUCAGAAGAGGUCUUAAUUUUGAUUGACUGUGUUGGCUAUGAAAUGGAGAAACUGCACAGAAAGUCAAGAUAGUAAUGCAGUCCUAAUGCUGGUGAUGCUGUGUACUUUGGCCUGAACUUUGGGAGGGGCAUUUGGAAGGUUUCUUAGAGAAACAGCUUCUAACGCAAGAAGAAACCAAAGUUAGGCAAAGAGAAUGGGGGUUAGGAGAGAGAAGUCAAGUGACAGUACAUAUGUCAGGGUGAUACUGCUAAGUGAUUCAGUGAGGCUGGGACAUAGAGAUAGAUGUCAGCCCAGACAGAUAGGCAGAAACUAGCUUCUAACGGACUUUUAAAUGAGCUAAUAGGAUUGGACUUUAUGGCAGAAGCUAUCAAAGUAACACAAUCCAUCAAUAUACCUUGUGUUGCUCAAAAAACAAGGAGAUCACUAGAUUGAGAGGGCUCCAGUGCCCUGGAUUGUCCUACAUAAGCAAACCAAAAUCUAAGCCUCUAAAGGCCCCGAGGUUAUAAAAUCAAAAUGUUGAGGACAACUAAUCAUAAACUGUCAGCAAGGCUUUAAGCUAAUAGCCAAUCCAAUAAUUUCCUUUCUUGACUUCUGCACUUUGUCUAUAUGUCUUUCCCCAGGCUCCUGUUGGCUGAUCGUGCCUAACCUCUUUCAGUUUGAUACUGCUGCCGUUUAUCUUAACAGUUCUUAAGAAAUUGUCCUCCCUGAGCUGACAUUGGCUGUUGACCUGGAGAUGGAGAGGUAAUUUGUACUUUCCACCAUCACUGCCUUCUAACCCUUGGCAGGGUGCACCCAUUGACUAACACAGCGGUCCAAAAGCCUGGCCCCUUUGGUUCAGUGGGACAUACCCCUAGGCCACUCUGGUGCUCCCUCCAGGCAGAGGCUGAACUGAGGACUGAACGAAAACCACAUCUUUGCUUAGCUUCUUUCUUGGUCAUGUUCUGUUUCCUUGCUGCCCCCUGGGUUUCUCCUAAAAGUGCUUCUUAAUCAAUCUCUGGUGUAGAAAUCCAAUUCCAGGCUCUGCUUCAAGGCAACUGGACUUGAGACAACAUUGACUUAACUCCUUCAGAUCUAAAAUCCUAUUUAGUAGACAACUAUUACAGACAUUGUGUCUGUGCUGUGCUGUGAUGUGUCAUCACGACCCCAUGGAUUGUAGCCUGUCAGGCUCCUCUGUCCAUGGGGAUUUUUCAGGCAAGAAUACUGGAGUGGGUUGCCAUGCCCUCCUCCAGGGGAUCUUCCCAACUCAGGGAUCAGACCCUGAUCUCCUAUGUUGCAGGUGAAUUCUGUACUAUCUGAGUCACCAGGUCUCCCGAAGACAUUGUAUAUUCACAUAAAAAGUUGCAUGAGAAAUAAUUCCUGCUUUGAGGCACUCAGAGUCUACUGAGGGGAAGAACACAUCACAAGUCAUUACAGAGUCAGGUAAGGUGUGCUAUAACAGAGGAGAGAGCAAGAAGUUUGGCAUGAGGUGGUGUCAGGAGGCUUCAAAGAGGAAGUGCCUGUUGAGCUGCAUUUUUGUUAGUAGGAGUUUGUUAGGCAAUGAGAAGGAAAAGACAGAAUUUUUUUUCCCAAGACACGAAAACAUGAUGUCUUUGGGAAAUCAUCAUAAGCUCAGUCAGUGUGUUGAGUAAGUGCCUUCCAAAAAGCAAUGAAGGAUGAGACUGACUUAGGCAAGGGCGCAGUCCACCUGUGCUGGACACCAGUGCAAAGAGAUUAGACCCUCUCUUGUAGAAUAUCGACUUCUGAAGAACGCUAUGCAUCAGAGUGAUGUG